AUCCGGUUGACAAGUCCUAAAUAGGACGAAAUGUGCAUCUUGACUGGAU
rnacentral:hammerhead_ribozyme from 1 species